rnacentral:rRNA from 1 species
GGUCCUACGGAAGGCAGCAGUGGGGAAUAUUGCACAAUGGGGGAAACCCUGAUGCAGCGACGCCGCGUGAAGGAAGAAGUAUUUCGGUAUGUAAACUUCUAUCAGCAGGGAAGAAAAUGACGGUACCUGACUAAGAAGCCCCGGCUAACUACGUGCCAGCAGCCGCGGCAAUACGUAGGGGGCAAGCGUUAUCCGGAUUUACUGGGUGUAAAGGGAGCGUAGGCGGUGCAGCAAGUCAGAAGUGAAAGCCCGGGGCUCAACUCCGGGACUGCUUUUGCAACUGUUGAAC